CGGCGCACGGGUGAGUAACGCGUACGCAAUCUGCCCUUCAGUGGGGAAUAGCCCUGGGAAACUGGGAUUAAUACCUCAUAAUAUUGAGUGGUCGCAUGGCCAUUUAAUUAAAGUUCUGGCGCUGAAGGAUGAGCGUGCGUCUGAUUAGCUAGUUGGUAGGGUAACGGCCUACCAAGGCGACGAUCAGUAGGGGGCGUGAGAGCGUGACCCCCCACACGGGUACUGAGACACGGACCCG
rnacentral:rRNA from 1 species